rnacentral:lncRNA from 10 species
AUUUUGUAUGUUUUAGUAGAGACAGGGUUUCUCCAUGUUGGUCAGGCUGGUCUCGAACUCCCAACCUCAGGUGAUCCGCCUGCCUCACCCUCCGAAAGUGCUGGGAUUACAGGGGUGAGCCAUCGCACCUGGCCUCUGCUGGGAUUUUGACUGAGAUUUUGUUGAAUCUGUGGAUCUGUUUGCAAAGGUAUCAUUGCGCAAUGUUUUCUGUCUUGAAAACCAUGGUUUAAUAUAUUUUGUUCAGAUUUUCAGUUGUUUCAUACAAGAAGGUAAAUUCAAUCCCUGUUAUUCCGUGUUGGCUGGAAAAGAUUUUAUAAUACAAUUGGGGGAGGGGGUAGUUAUCAAUUCAUGGUUUUUCAUAUUCCUCGAAGAGAAAAGCUGUAACAACUUGUAUUUAUUAAUAUUAUAUGGCUUAG